GAUGAACGCUGGCGGCGUGCCUAAUACAUGCAAGUCGAGCGAACAGACGAGGAGCUUGCUCCUCUGACGUUAGCGGCGGACGGGUGAGUAACACGUGGAUAACCUACCUAUAAGACUGGGAUAACUUCGGGAAACCGGAGCUAAUACCGGAUAAUAUAUUGAACCGCAUGGUUCAAUAGUGAAAGACGGUUUUGCUGUCACUUAUAGAUGGAUCCGCGCCGCAUUAGCUAGUUGGUAAGGUAACGGCUUACCAAGGCGACGAUGCGUGGCCGACCUGAGAGGGGGCACGGCCCCACUGGAACUGAGCCACGGCCCAGACUCCUACGGAAGGCAGCAGUAGGGAAUCUUCCGCAAUGGGCGAAAGCCUGACGGAGCAACGCCGCGUGGGUGAUGAAGGUCUUCGGUUCGUAAAACUCUGUUAUUAGGGAAGAACAAAUGUGUAAGUAACUAUGCACGUCUUGACGGUACCUAAUCAGAAAGCCACGGCUAACUACGU
rnacentral:rRNA from 1 species